CCUACGGGUGGCUGCAGUGGGGAAUAUUGCACAAUGGGCGCAAGCCUGAUGCAGCCAUGCCGCGUGUGUGAAGAAGGCCUUCGGGUUGUAAAGCACUUUCAGCGGGGAGGAAGGCGUUAAGGUUAAUAACCUUGUCGAUUGACGUUACCCGCAGAAGAAGCACCGGCUAACUCCGUGCCAGCAGCCGCGGUAAUACGGAGGGUGCAAGCGUUAAUCGGAAUUACUGGGCGUAAAGCGCACGCAGGCGGUCUGUCAAGUCGGAUGUGAAAUCCCCGGGCUCAACCUGGGAACUGCAUUCGAAACUGGCAGGCUAGAGUCUUGUAGAGGGGGGUAGAAGUCCAGGUGUAGCGGUGAAAUGCGUAGAGAUCUGGAGGAAUACCGGUGGCGAAGGCGGCCCCCUGGACAAAGACUGACGCUCAGGUGCGAAAGCGUGGGGAGCAAACAGGAUUAAUACCCUGGUAGUC
rnacentral:rRNA from 1 species